GCCGAAGUGGCGGAACUGGGAGACGCGCCAGGUUCAGGACCUGGUGAGGGUUUUCCUCGUAGGGGUUCGAGUCCCCUCUUCGGCA
rnacentral:tRNA from 1 species